CCACCUAUAAUCGUUUUAAUCGAUGGGGGGACGCAGUAGGAUAGGCGAAGCGUGCGAUUGGAUUGCACGUCUAAGCAGUAAGGCUGAGUAUUAGGGAAAUCCGGUACUCAUUAAGGCUGAGCUGUGAUGGGGAGAAGACAUUGUGUCUUCGAGUCGUUGAUUUCACACUGCCGAGAAAAGCCUCUAGAUAGAAAAUAGGUGCCCGUACCGCAAACCGACACAGGUAGUCAAGAUGAGAAUUCUAAGGUGAGCGAGCGAACUCUCGUUAAGGAACUCGGCAAAAUGACCCCGUAACUUCGGGAGAAGGGGUGCUCUUUAGGGUUAACGCCCAGAAGAGCCGCAGUGAAUAGGCCCAAGCGACUGUUUAUCAAAAACACAGGUCUCUGCUAAACCGUAAGGUGAUGUAUAGGGGCUGACGCCUGCCCGGUGCUGGAAGGUUAAGAGGAGUGGUUAGCUUCUGCGAAGCUACGAAUCGAAGCCCCAGUAAACGGCGGCCGUAACUAUAACGGUCCUAAGGUAGCGAAAUUCCUUGUCGGGUAAGUUCCGACCCGCACGAAAGGCGUAACGAUUUGGGCACUGUCUCAACGAGAGACUCGGUGAAAUCAUAGUACCUGUGAAGAUGCAGGUUACCCGCGACAGGACGGAAAGACCCCGUGGAGCUUUACUGUAGCCUGAUAUUGAAAUUCGGCACAGCUUGUACAGGAUAGGUAGGAGCCUUUGAAACGUGAGCGCUAGCUUACGUGGAGGCGCUGGUGGGAUACUACCCUAGCUGUGUUGGCUUUCUAACCCGCACCACUUAUCGUGGUGGGAGACAGUGUCAGGCGGGCAGUUUGACUGGGGCGGUCGCCUCCUAAAAGGUAACGGAGGCGCUCAAAGGUUCCCUCAGAAUGGUUGGAAAUCAUUCAUAGAGUGUAAAGGCAUAAGGGAGCUUGACUGCGAGACCUACAAGUCGAGCAGGGUCGAAAGACGGACUUAGUGAUCCGGUGGUUCCGCAUGGAAGGGCCAUCGCUCAACGGAUAAAAGCUACCCCGGGGAUAACAGGCUUAUCUCCCCCAAGAGUUCACAUCGACGGGGAGGUUUGGCACCUCGAUGUCGGCUCAUCGCAUCCUGGGGCUGUAGUCGGUCCCAAGGGUUGGGCUGUUCGCCCAUUAAAGCGGUACGCGAGCUGGGUUCAGAACGUCGUGAGACAGUUCGGUCCCUAUCCGUCGUGGGCGUAGGAAAUUUGAGAGGAGCUGUCCUUAGUACGAGAGGACCGGGAUGGACAUACCUCUGGUGUACCAGUUGUCGUGCCAACGGCAUAGCUGGGUAGCUAUGUGUGGACGGGAUAAGUGCUGAAAGCAUCUAAGCAUGAAGCCCCCCUCAAGAUGAGAUUUCCCAACUUCGGUUAUAAGAUCCCUCAAAGAUGAUGAGGUUAAUAGGUUCGAGGUGGAAGCAUGGUGACAUGUGGAGCUGACGAAUACUAAUCGAUCGAAGACUUAAUCAA
rnacentral:rRNA from 1 species